CUUCUGCUAAGACAAGCAGCAGGCCUGGGGGCACGUCACGCUCAGAUAGGAAAGUUAGGAACUAAUAUUAUCUUCUGCUCUCUGGGUCUGAUCCAGAUCCCCAGUGCCAGUGAAGGCUUUCGGCUGUGAGCUUUGCAUCUCGAAUAAGGAGCCCUUAAGCAAGCAGCAAAAUCAAAUGGCAGAAAGGCAUCGUGCGAUGGAAUAGUGUAAUGAUGAAUUUCUCCAUAAUAACAGACUGUAUGGUAACUGCUGAGUCACGGCCUGAAGCACUGAUUGAGCACCUGGGAAAAGGACCCGGUCAGCCCUGGGAGCACAGCUAGUUUCUUAUAUGGAGAUGAAGAAGAAUGACUUGGGAGUGCCUGUAGAGGGUGUAAUUUUACCCAUCCCUUGAAUAAUAUAUCAGAGAGCAGAGGUGAACCUCCUCUUCUAGCAGCAGCACUGUUUUAGAUCUUCUGCUCCUCCCGUGCCCUGCCACAUUAAACCAUUUAUGUAGAAAGUAAAUGGUCAGAUAUAUGAAUGCUGAAAGCUCUCUACUGUCAUCCUGCGAUGUGCCGCAGCACCCAGAGGGAGGAGUGAGCCUGGAGACCACCUCUUUCACAGCAGUGAGCUCCUGGUGCCACAGCGAUGGCUGUAUGUACAAAAGCUGUUGGUAUGGUGCUGUCUCUGACCAGAACAGCAAGCCAUGCCCAGCUGGGGGAGAGAAGCACAUCUUUGAACCAACCUUCUCUUUCUUUCUCCCAGCACUGACUUCCAUGGGCUGCAAAGAGAAGCAUUUCUCCCUCACUUCACCAGUGCUGUGUGAAAUGCCCUCUAAAUGCUAAUUUCAUUUCACUUCUACAACAGUAGAAAUAAAUACAGCACAAAUCUUCCUUCUCUGCAGUGCUUUUUUUCUUGACUGCUGUAUCUAAAUGUCCCUUCAAUCUAGUAUCUCUUAAUAGUUCAGUAAAGAAUUACUCAUGGGACUAUCCUUUUUUUUUUUUUUUUUUGCCUUGAAGGCAGUCCCUAUUACUCCACAGUAUGGAAACCAACUGGGAAAGUAAUCUAUGCAAAUUACAUGUACUUUUCGGGUUGAAUCGCAUUCCCUUCGCUCAUGGUAAUGAGUCACUUGGCAUGAAGUGGACUUACAGUGAAUGGAGAGAGCAUAUAAGGGCGCUGCUUCUCAAGAAUUACUUCUACUUGCUGAAUCUCAUUUAGGCCUGGAACCAUGAGGGGUGAGGCUCUGCU
ensembl:lncRNA